AGUGAACGCUGGCGGUAGGCCUAACACAUGCAAGACGAACGGCAGCACAGUAAGAGCUUGCUCUUACGGGUGGCGAGUGGCGGACGGGUGAGGAAUACAUCGGAAUCUACUUUUUCGUGGGGGAUAACGUAGGGAAACUUACGCUAAUACCGCAUACGACCUACGGGUGAAAGCAGGGGAUCUUCGGACCUUGCGCGAUUGAAUGAGCCGAUGUCGGAUUAGCUAGUUGACGGGGUAAAGGCCCACCAAGGCGACGAUCCGUAGCUGGUCUGAGAGGAUGAUCAGCCACACUGGAACUGAGACACGGUCCAGACUCCUACGGGAGGCAGCAGUGGGGAAUAUUGGACAAUGGGCGCAAGCCUGAUCCAGCCAUACCGCGUGGGUGAAGAAGGCCUUCGGGUUGUAAAGCCCUUUUGUUGGGAAAGAAAAGCAGCAGGUUAAUACCCCGCUGUUCUGACGGUACCCAAAGAAUAAGCACCGGCUAACUUCGUG
rnacentral:rRNA from 1 species